GAUGAAGAACGUAGCGAAAUGCGAUACGUAAUGUGAAUUACAGAAUUCAGUGAAUCAUCGAAUCUUUGAACGCACAUUGCGCCUGCCAGCACUCUGGCAGGCAUGCCUGUUCGAGCGUCAUUUCAACCAUCAAGCCCUAGGCUUGCGUUGGAGCCCUGCGGCUGCCGCAGGCCCCUAAAAGCAGUGGCGGGCUCGCUAUCACACCGAGUGCAGUAGAUUACUCUUCGCUCAGGGCGUGUGGCGGGUUCCAGCCGUGAAACCCCCUACUUCUCAAGGUUGACCUCGGAUCAGGUAGGAAUACCCGCUGAACUUAAGCAUAUCAAUAACGGAGGA
rnacentral:misc_RNA from 1 species